rnacentral:rRNA from 1 species
UACAGAGGGUGCGAGCGUUGUCCGGAAUCACUGGGCGUAAAGGGCGCGUAGGCGGCUCGGUAAGCGUGCGGUGAAAGCCCGGGGCUCAACCCCGGGUCGGCCGUGCGAACUGCAGAGCUGGAGCACUGUAGAGGGCAGGUAGGAAUUCCGGGUGUAGCGGUGGAAUGCGUAGAGAGUCCGGAAAGAACGACCGGUGGCGAAGGCGGCCUGCUGGGCAGUUGCUGACGGCUGAGGCGCGACAGCGUCGGGGAGCAAACAGGAUUGA